UACAGAGGUGGCAAGCGUUGUUCGGAAUUACUGGGCGUAAAGGGCGCGUAGGCGGAUGGCACAGUCAGAUGUGAAAUUCCCGGGCUUAACCUGGGGGCUGCAUUUGAUACGUGUUGUCUAGAGUGAGGAAGAGGGUCGUGGAAUUCCCAGUGUAGAGGUGAAAUUCGUAGAUAUUGGGAAGAACACCGGUGGCGAAGGCGGCGACCUGGUCCUUGACUGACGCUGAGGCGCGAAAGCGUGGGGAGCAAACAGG
rnacentral:rRNA from 1 species